rnacentral:misc_RNA from 1 species
UAUGAAGAACGUAGCGAAAUGCGAUAAGUAAUGUGAAUUGCAGAAUUCAGUGAAUCAUCGAAUCUUUGAACGCACAUUGCGCCCGCCAGCACUCUGGCGGGCAUGCCUGUUCGAGCGUCAUUUCAACCAUCAAGCCCCCAGGGGCUUGUGCUGGGGCCCUGCGGCUGCCCGCAGGCCCUGAAAACCAGUGGCGGGCUCGCUAGUCACACCGAGCGCAGUAGCACAUCUCGCUCAGGGCGUGCGGCGGGCUCCUGCCGUGAAACCCCCCACUGUAACCCCAAAGGUUGACCUCGGAUCAGGUAGGAAUACCCGCUGAACUUAAGCAUAUCAAUAAGCGGAGGA